UACGUAGGGGGCAAGCGUUAUCCGGAUUUACUGGGUGUAAAGGGAGCGUAGACGGUUUGAUAAGUCAGAUGUGAAAUCUUGGGGCUCAACUCUGAGACUGCAUUUGAAACUAUCGGACUGGAGUGCAGGAGAGGUAAGUGGAAUUCCUAGUGUAGCGGUGAAAUGCGUAGAUAUUAGGAAGAACACCGGUGGCGAAGGCGGCCCACUGGCUCGAUACUGACGCUGAGGUGCGAAAGCGUGGGGAGCAAACAGG
rnacentral:rRNA from 1 species